rnacentral:rRNA from 1 species
UGAGGGAAUAUUUGGGUCAAUGGGCGCAAGCCUGAACCAGCCAAGUAGCGUGCAGGAUGACGGCCCUCCGGGUUGUAAACUGCUUUUAGUUGGGAAUAAAGUGCGGGACGCGUCCCGUUUUGUAUGUACCAUCAGAAAAAGGACCGGCUAAUUCCGUGCCAGCAGCCGCGGUAAUACGGAAGGUCCGGGCGUUAUCCGGAUUUAUUGGGUUUAAAGGGAGCGCAGGCGGACCCUUAAGUCAGUUGUGAAAUACGGCGGCUCAACCGUCGGACUGCAGUUGAUACUGGGGGUCUUGAGUUCACACAGGGAUGCCGGAAUUC